UGAGGAAGAUAAUGACGGUACUCAACAAGGAAGUGACGGCUAACUACGUGCCAGCAGCCGCGGUAAAACGUAGGUCACAAGCGUUGUCCGGAAUUACUGGGUGUAAAGGGAGCGCAGGCGGGAAGACAAGUUGGAAGUGAAAUCCAUGGGCUCAACCCAUGAACUGCUUUCAAAACUGUUUUUCUUGAGUAGUGCAGAGGUAGGCGGAAUUCCCGGUGUAGCGGUGGAAUGCGUAGAUAUCGGGAGGAACACCAGUGGCGAAGGCGGCCUACUGGGCACCAACUGACGCUGAGGCUCGAAAGUGUGGGUAGCAAACAGGAUUAGAUACCCUGGUAGUCCACACCGUAAACGAUGAUUACUAGGUGUUGGAGGAUUGACCCCUUCAGUGCCGCAGUUAACACAAUAAGUAAUCCACCUGGGGAGUACGACCGCAAGGUUGAAACUCAAAGGAAUUGACGGGGGCCCGCACAAGCAGUGGAGUAUGUGGUUUAAUUCGACGCAACGCGAAGAACCUUACCAAGUCUUGACAUCCCUUGACGAUGCUGGAAACAGUAUUUCUCUUCGGAGCAAGGAGACAGGUGGUGCAUGGUUGUCGUCAGCUCGUGUCGUGAGAUGUUGGGUUAAGUCCCGCAACGAGCGCAACCCUUAUGGUCAGUUACUACGCAAGAGGACUCUGGCCAGACUGCGUUGAACAAA
rnacentral:rRNA from 1 species